AUUGAACGCUGGCGGCAGGCUUAACACAUGCAAGUCGAACGAGUGGCGGACGGGUGAGUAAUGUCUGGGAAACUGCCUGAUGGCGGGGGAUAACUACUGGAAACGGUAGCUAAUACCGCAUACCAUCGGAUGUGCCCAGAUGGGAUUAGCUAGUAGGUGGGUUAAAGGCUCACCUAGGCGACGAUCCCUAGCUGGUCUGAGAGGAUGACCAGACAGACUGGAACUGAGACACGGUCCAGACGACUACGGGAGGCAGCAGUGGGGAAUAGUGCACAGUGGGCGCAAGCCUGAUGCAGCCAUGCCGAGUGGAUGAAGAAGGCCUUAGGGUUGUAAAGGACUUGCAGCGGGGAGGCGUUACCCGCAGAAGAAGCACCGGCGAACUCCGGGUCAGCAGCCGCGGGAAUUC
rnacentral:rRNA from 1 species